GGUCAGGACGAACGCUGGCGGCGUGCCUAACACAUGCAAGUCGAACGGAGUUACGGAAGCUUGCUUCUGUAACUUAGUGGCGGACGGGUGAGUAACGCGUGAGCAACCCGCCUUACAGAGGGGGAUAGCCAUUGGAAACGAUGGAUAAUACCGCAUAACGUACAGUCAUGGCAUCUUGAUUGUACCAAAGGAGCAAUCCGCUGUAAGAUGGGCUCGCGUCCGAUUAGAUAGUUGGCGGGGCAACGGCCCACCAAGUCGACGAUCGGUAGCCGGACUGAGAGGUUGAACGGCCACAUUGGGACUGAGACACGGCCCAGACUCCUACGGGAGGCAGCAGUGAGGGAUAUUGCACAAUGGGCGAAAGCCUGAUGCCAGCAACGCCGCGUGAGGGAUGACGGUUUUCGGAUUGUAAACCUCUGUUCUAAGUGAAGAUAAUGACAUUAGCUUAGGAGAAAGCCACGGCUAACUACGUGCCAGCCGCUGC
rnacentral:rRNA from 1 species